AUGAAAAGAGGGAUUAGGGUAACAAGUUGCGACUCUUCAUCUCUCUCGCACGAUCCUCUUCACUCUCUCCUCAAUGGCGGUAUAUUGACUCCCUUUUCCCUGUCAAUGAACGCCAACGCAACCGCCACUUCGCAUCUAUGUUUCGAUCUCAAACCAUCUCCUAUCAAUAUGGUAUGGUCGUUCAUCUCCAUUCACAAAGGCGACUCACCUCCUCUCGACAUCGUCUCAAUUUCAAACACCGCUAGCUUCUUCAGACAUCAUACGCUCUGA